GCUGGGCAUAGUGGCUCAUGCCUGUAAUCCCAGCACUUUGGGAGGCUGAGGUGGGCGGAUCACCUGAGGUCAGGAGUUCCAGACCAGCCUGGCCAACAUGGUGAAACCCCAUCUCUA
ensembl:misc_RNA Metazoa_SRP Metazoan signal recognition particle RNA